rnacentral:rRNA from 1 species
AACGAACGCUGGCGGCAUGCCUAACACAUGCAAGUCGAACGAGACCUUCGGGUCUAGUGGCGCACGGGUGCGUAACGCGUGGGAACCUGCCCUUAGGUUCGGAAUAACUCCCCGAAAGGGGUGCUAAUACCGGAUAAUGUCUUCGGACCAAAGAUUUAUCGCCUUUGGAUGGGCCCGCGUUGGAUUAGCUAGUUGGUAGGGUAAAAGCCUACCAAGGCGAGGAUCCAUAGCUGGUCUGAGAGGAUGAUCAGCCACACUGGGACUGAGGCACGGACCAGACUCCUACGGGAGGCAGCAGUGGGGAAUAUUGGACAAUGGGCGAAAGCCUGAUCCAGCAAUGCCGCGUGAGUGAUGAAGGCCUUAGGGUUGUAAAGCUCUUUUACCCGGGAUGAUAAUGACAGUACCGGGAGAAUAAGCUCCGGCUAACUACGUG